GACUGUAAAAACCUGUGGGGGUGGAAGCAGUGGGAGAAACUCCCAGCCUCACAGGAGACUUCAUUGGAGAGACUAACAGGGUCCUAGAACAUGCACAAAACCUCCCACCCAUGAAUCAGCAACAGAGGGGCCCAAUUUGCUUGUGGGUAGUGAAGGAAGUGACUGAAAGCCGGCAGAGAUUGG